rnacentral:SRP_RNA from 1 species
CCGUGCUAGGUGGGGAGGUAGUAGUUCCUUUUAACUCGAAAUCUACUAUAUGCGAGGCUGACGGAAGAACUGAGGGUAAAUAAGCUUUUAUAUUUUCUUGGCAGGUACGUUGAAAUCAAGGUCUUAUUUAACGAUAACUUUACGAACCAUGUGAGGACCUGACGGUAGCAACAUUAAGUAAAGUAGCCGUGUGAUUUAAGGUAGCUUUGAUGGAGUAUUUUGACUUGCGAGUAUAAUCGUCCGAUUUUGUUCGAAUUCUUCGGCACGG